rnacentral:rRNA from 1 species
ACACAUGCAAGUCGAGGGGAAACGACAUCGAAAGCUUGCUUUUGAUGGGCGUCGACCGGCGCACGGGUGAGUAACGCGUAUCCAACCUGCCCACCACUUGGGGAUAACCUUGCGAAAGUAAGACUAAUACCCAAUGAUAUCUCUAGAAGACAUCUGAAAGAGAUUAAAGAUUUAUCGGUGAUGGAUGGGGAUGCGUCUGAUUAGCUUGUUGGCGGGGUAACGGCCCACCAAGGCGACGAUCAGUAGGGGUUCUGAGAGGAAGGUCCCCCACAUUGGAACUGAGACACGGUCCAAACUCCUACGGGAGGCAGCAGUGAGGAAUAUUGGUCAAUGGACGAGAGUCUGAACCAGCCAAGUAGCGUGCAGGAAGACGGCCCUAUGGGUUGUAAACUGCUUUUAUAAGGGAAUAAAGUGAGUCUCGUGAGACUUUUUGCAUGUACCUUAUGAAUAAGGACCGGCUAAUUCCGUGCCAGCAGCCGCGGUAAUACGGAAGGUCCGGGCGUUAUCCGGAUUUAUUGGGUUUAAAGGGAGCGUAGGCCGGAGAUUAAGCGUGUUGUGAAAUGUAGACGCUCGACGUCUGCACUGCAGCGCGAACUGGUCUUCUUGAGUACGCACAACGUGGGCGGAAUUCGUGGUGUAGCGGUGAAAUGCUUAGAUAUCACGAAGAACUCCGAUUGCGAAGGCAGCUCACGGGAGCGCAACUGACGCUGAAGCUCGAAAGUGCGGGUAUCGAACAGGAUUAGAUACCCUGGUAGUCCGCACGGUAAACGAUGGAUGCCCGCUGUUGGCCUGAAUAGGUCAGCGGCCAAGCGAAAGCAUUAAGCAUCCCACCUGGGGAGUACGCCGGCA